rnacentral:SRP_RNA from 15 species
AGCCACUUGAGGAAUCAGCACCGUCAGUCACGGUGCUGUCCGAUCCAUCAACGCCGUGAUAAUGGUGGUGGAUUUCGGUCACAGCCGAGGGCGAAGCUUGAGGGGGGUCAUUCGGCGGAACCGCAGGUGAAGGAGGAGGAGGGGGGGUCAGA